rnacentral:rRNA from 1 species
AUUGAACGCUGGCGGCAUGCCUUACACAUGCAAGUCGAACGGCAGCACGGGAGCAAUCCUGGUGGCGAGUGGCGAACGGGUGAGUAAUAUAUCGGAACGUGCCCAGUCGUGGGGAUAACGUAGCGAAAGCUACGCUAAUACCGCAUACGAUCUACGGAUGAAAGCGGGGGGAUCGCAAGACCUCGCGCGAUUGGAGCGGCCGAUAUCAGAUUAGGUAGUUGGUGAGGUAAAGGCUCACCAAGCCGACGAUCUGUAGCUGGUCUGAGAGGACGACCAGCCACACUGGGACUGAGACACGGCCAGACUCCUACGGGAGGCAGCAGUGGGGAAUUUUGGACAAUGGGCGCAAGCCUGAUCCAGCAAUGCCGCGUGCAGGAUGAAGGCC